rnacentral:rRNA from 1 species
UAUUGGUCAAUGGACGCAAGUCUGAACCAGCUAUGCCGCGUGAAGGAUUAAGGUCCUCUGGAUUGUAAACUUCUUUUAUCUGGGACGAAAAAAGGUCUUUCUAGACCCCUUGACGGUACCAGAUGAAUAAGCACCGGCUAACUCCGUGCCAGCAGCCGCGGUAAUACGGAGGGUGCAAGCGUUAUCCGGAUUCACUGGGUUUAAAGGGUGCGUAGGCGGGUAGGUAAGUCAGUGGUGAAAUCCUGGAGCUCAACUCCAGAACUGCCGUUGAUACUAUCUAUCUUGAAUAUUGUGGAGGUAAGCGGAAUAUGUCAUGUAGCGGUGAAAUGCUUAGAUAUGACAUAGAACACCCAUUGCGAAGGCAGCUUACUACGCAUAUAUUGACGCUGAGGCACGAAA